GCGGCGGACGGGUGAGUAACACGUGGGUAACCUGCCCAUAAGACUGGGAUAACUCCGGGAAACCGGGGCUAAUACCGGAUAACAUUUUGAACUGCAUGGUUCGAAAUUGAAAGGCGGCUUCGGCUGUCACUUAUGGAUGGACCCGCGUCGCAUUAGCUAGUUGGUGAGGUAACGGCUCACCAAGGCAACGAUGCGUAGCCGACCUGAGAGGGUGAUCGGCCACACUGGGACUGAGACACGGCCCAGACUCCUACGGGAGGCAGCAGUAGGGAAUCUUCCGCAAUGGACGAAAGUCUGACGGAGCAACGCCGCGUGAGUGAUGAAGGCUUUCGGGUCGUAAAACUCUGUUGUUAGGGAAGAACAAGUGCUAGUUGAAUAAGCUGGCACCUUGACGGUACCUAACCAGAAAGCCACGGCUAACUACGUGCCAACAGCCGCGGUAAUACGUAGGUGGCAAGCGUUAUCCGGAAUUUAUUGGGCGUAAAGCGCGCGCAGUGGUUUCUUAAGUCUGAUGUGAAAGCCCACGGCUCAACCGUGAGGUCAUUGGAAACUGGGGACUUGAUGCAGAGAGAAGUG
rnacentral:rRNA from 1 species